GCUAGCGUUGCUCGGAAUUACUGGGCGUAAAGCGCACGUAGGCGGCUUUCUAAGUCUGGGGUGAAAUCCUGGAGCUCAACUCCAGAACUGCCUUCGAUACUGGAAAGCUCGAGUCCGGGAGAGGUGAGUGGAACUGCGAGUGUAGAGGUGAAAUUCGUAGAUAUUCGCAAGAACACCAGUGGCGAAGGCGGCUCACUGGCCCGGUACUGACGCUGAGGUGCGAAAGCGUGGGGAGCAAACAGG
rnacentral:rRNA from 1 species